rnacentral:rRNA from 1 species
AUUGAACGCUGGCGGCAGGCCUAACACAUGCAAGUCGAACGAGUGGCGGACGGGUGAGUAAUGUCUGGGAAACUGCCUGAUGGAGGAGGAUAACUACUGGAAACGGUAGCUAAUACCGCAUACCAUCAGAUGUGCCCAGAUGUGAUGAGCUUGUUGGUGGGGUAACGGCUCACCAAGGCGCCGAUCCCUAGCUGGUCUGAGAGGAUGACCACCCACACUGGAACGGGGACCCGGUCCAGACUCCUACGGGAGGCAGCAGUGGUGAAUAUUGCACAAUGGGCGCAAGCCUGAUGCAGCCAUGCCGCGUGUAUGACGAAGGCCUGGGGUUUGUAAAGUACUUUCAGUGGGGAGGCGUUACCCGAAGAAGAAGCACCGGCUAACUCCGUGCCAGCAGCCGCGGUAAUAC